rnacentral:rRNA from 1 species
GGAAUAUUGGACAAUGGGGGCAACCCUGAUCCAGCAAUGCCGCGUGUGUGAAGAAGGCCUGCGGGUUGUAAAGCACUUUCGGUGGGGAGGACGGACUUUUAGGAUAAUACCCUGAGAGUUUUGACGUUACCCACAUAAGAAGCACCGGCUAACUCUGUGCCAGCAGCCGCGGUAAUACAGAGGGUGCAAGCGUUAAUCGGAAUUACUGGGCGUAAAGGGCGCGUAGGUGGUUAAUUAAGUCGUAUGUGAAAUCCCCGGGCUUAACCUGGGAAUGGCAUAGGAAACUGGUUGACUAGAGUUUGGGAGAGGGAAGUGGAAUUUCCGGUGUAGCGGUGAAAUGCGUAGAUAUCGGAAGGAACACCAGUGGCGAAGGCGACUUCCUGGCCCGAUACUGACACUGAGGCGCGAAAGCGUGGGGAGCAAAC